CGAGCCGGGCGGACGGCCGCGAGAGGUCCCCUUGGGGUUCCUUUCGAGGAACGUCCGGGCUCCACAGGGCAGGGUGGUGGGUAACGCCCACCCGGGGUGACCCGCGGGACAGUGCCACAGAAAGCAGACCGCCGGGGACCUCGGUCCCCGGUAAGGGUGAAACGGUGGUGUAAGAGACCACCAGCGCCUGAGGUGACUCAGGCGGCUCGGUAAACCCCACCCGGAGCAAGGUCAAGAGGGGCCGCCGCGAGGCGACCCUGCGCGGACGUUCGAGGGCUGCCCGCCCGAGUCUGCGGGUAGACCGCACGAGGCCGGUGGCAACACCGGUCCUAGAUGGAUGGCCGUCUCCCCGGCCGCCGCGAGGCGACCGGGUGACAGAACCCGGCGUACAGCCCGACUCGUCUG
rnacentral:RNase_P_RNA from 1 species